rnacentral:lncRNA from 1 species
ACUAAACCAGGACACUUUUGAGAAUGAACUUGGGUGCUAUUGGUAAUCACACCGAGACACAGCAACGUCCGGGACCAACUCAACCCUCAGUCCGCUCAUGGGGCACAGGUUUCCUGGUCCUUCCCUACCCUGACUUCUCUUCUUCUGAUGUUUGGUGGUCUGCAUCCUUUUAAACCACUGUGCUCCCAGAACUGAUUCCCAUAUGUGUCUGCCAUACUGGAAAAUACCAAAUAGGCAAGGAGAUCGUUUCAAUACUGUCUGCUGAACACCUUAAUAGAGGCAAGAGAGAACGCAGAGGAAGAAACAAUGGACUCUUUCUGAGAGAGUGGAAGAUGGCUUCGCAGAGGAGCUGCUGUCUGAGACGGAUAGCAUGAGUAGGAGUUUCCCCAGGCAGGGAAGGUGUUGUUGUUUCUCCUCAGGGUAGAGGGGAGAGCAGGGUUCCCCGUGUGUCUGUUGCUGAAUGUGACUCAUGCUGUUUUCCUGCUUUGAGCCUGCUCUAGGGUGUUAUGGGCAGGAUGGACUUGUCCUGCGUGCUUGUUGUUCCGCCGUGUUUCUGAUCUUCAGAUUUAUCGUAAGGAAGAACAGCCGAUGUACAGGCAGAACUUGACAAAUGAGGCAACAAGCAACUUGAUCUGGGAUCCAUCGUCCUCUAGACCCCAGGAUGGAUCAUGAAGAGUGGAAUUGCUUUUCCUCUUGGGGCAGGCACACCAACAGUGUAUGUGAGGCCCCUGCUCCCACUCCCCAGGCUGGCCAGUACUUUGGGCCAAUCUGCUAGACCCAAAAAUGUUAAUCUCACUGAGAUUUAAUUUGCAUUCCCCUGACUACCGGUGAAGUUGAGCAUCUUUUCAUAUGUUUAUUGACAAUUUGCAUUUCUUAUUCAGUAAAUUACCUGCUCGUAUCCUAG